rnacentral:rRNA from 1 species
UUGACCUCGGAUCAGGUAGGGAUACCCGCUGAACUUAAGCAUAUCAAUAAGCGGAGGAAAGGA